CCCUGGGCAGUCACACGAAACAGAACAGGGAGUGCUGGGGUGAGGCAGUGGGGAAGGGGUAGAAGAAGAGAUGGAGGUGGGGGGGGCAGGGGAGACGGAGCAGAGUGAUGGCAUGAGUGUACCCACUGGGUUCUCUGAGCCCAUUUCCCCCUGGGUCGUCCGGUUCCGAGGGCCUUGACUCCCGCCAAGAAUUCUAGGUAACAUGAUACUCAGCCUUUGUCAAUCUCCUUAGUGCUCAAAGCUGCUGCUGCUGAGAGAAAGCAGCCUGCCCUGGCGUCGGGUCAGUGUCCCUCCUGCUCUAGUCUGACAGUUCCCAUUUUUUCCUCAAGAUGUGGAAAUGUCUGUCCUUUCCUCAAACCAGCAUUUCCAUUGAUGGAUAAAUCCUAGGAAGGGGCAGGUAGAGGGAAUGGAGGAGGGCAGAACGGCCCAGACACUCGGGAGCCUCUUAUGGAAGGUGGAGCCCACACCGGGGCACAGGUAGCUCAGUUCCCACUCCCACCGGAGCUGCCCCCUCUCGGGAGGCCACCCUAAGCCAGGAGCUUAGAUCAGGGUUCCUCUGCCCUCUCUGGUCAUCACAUCUCAAAAGAAAAAGCCCGGAGGGCGAGCCCACGUGGGAGGUGUACGAAACAGCCUGAGGAGCAAGUCCAGGAAAUCCCUGUCCUUUGGAGAAAGCUUCUUUAUCUGCGUGUCUCAGCCUCAUCUCUAUGGUGGGAUCCAGUCAACCACUCUGGGCUGUUGUGAGGGUAAAAUGAAGCUACAAACGGAAAAGGCUUGAUUUUUAUGAGUGCCGGAAGACUCAUACCGAAGGGAAACACACUUUGCGUGGUGUCUGCCACAGGCCAGUGCUCAGACAUUGUUUGCUGAAUGACUAUGUGAGAGGAAGAGUGAGAAGGACUGGACUCCAGUCAGGGCCCUCCCCCUGCUACUGCUGUGACCUGCGCAAACCAUCUUACUCUCCUGGGCCCAUAUUUUUGCUUGCCCUCUCAUAGGCUGGCUGUACAACACCGCCCCACCUCGGCUGAGGUCCUACUUACCCCCAAAGGCUGGGAAUGCAGCGAAAGCUGGUGCCACCUGGGGAGCGGCAAAGGGGUCUCCACCUAUGUCGGCCAGCAGCACACCAUCUCCCAGAAGCAGACAUUUUAGAGCCCGUGGGUGAAAGUAACCCUGAGCUACAAGGGAUAUUGCCAAGAGCCCCCCGCUCCCGAGCUGUUACUUCCUCAUCUUUCCCGGGUGCCAGAGGCAGUGUCCGGGCCCCUCCUGCGUUUCCUUGAAGCAAUGUUCAGGUUUGAAGUCGAUACUCCGACUUCCCUAAAUACCACUUCCUGUUGGGUUCUUUCUUCCAAAAAGAUAGGAGGCCAAGGUGAGUCCAAGACAUAGGUAACAGCAGGGCCGAGAACCAACUCACACCAGCCAUACUGUCGUCUGCUAAGUACGGGGCGUUGGAUUUAGGAAACUGACAUCCCUGUCUCCCAAAUCCCCAACUAGUCUCUAAGGGCAG